rnacentral:rRNA from 1 species
CAGGCUUAACACAUGCAAGUCGAGGGGCAGCAUGGUCUUAGCUUGCUAAGGCCGAUGGCGACCGGCGCACGGGUGAGUAACACGUAUCCAACCUGCCGUCUACUCUUGGACAGCCUUCUGAAAGGAAGAUUAAUACAAGAUGGCAUCAUGAGUCCGCAUGUUCACAUGAUUAAAGGUAUUCCGGUAGACGAUGGGGAUGCGUUCCAUUAGAUAGUAGGCGGGGUAACGGCCCACCUAGUCUUCGAUGGAUAGGGGUUCUGAGAGGAAGGUCCCCCACAUUGGAACUGAGACACGGUCCAAACUCCUACGGGAGGCAGCAGUGAGGAAUAUUGGUCAAUGGGCGAGAGCCUGAACCAGCCAAGUAGCGUGAAGGAUGACUGCCCUAUGGGUUGUAAACUUCUUUUAUAAAGGAAUAAAGUCGGGUAUGGAUACCCGUUUGCAUGUACUUUAUGAAUAAGGAUCGGCUAACUCCGUGCCAGCAGCCGCGGUAAUACGGAGGAUCCGAGCGUUAUCCGGAUUUAUUGGGUUUAAAGGGAGCGUAGAUGGAUGUUUAAGUCAGUUGUGAAAGUUUGCGGCUCAACCGUAAAAUUGCAGUUGAUACUGGAUAUCUUGAGUGCAGUUGAGGCAGGCGGAAUUCGUGGUGUAGCGGUGAAAUGCUUAGAUAUCACGAGGAACUCCGAUUGCGAAGGCAGCCUGCUAAGCUGCAACUGACAUUGAGGCUCGAAAGUGUGGGUAUCAAACAGGAUUAGAUACCCUGGUAGUCCACACGGUAAACGAUGAAUACUCGCUGUUUGCGAUAUACGGCAAGCGGCCAAGCGAAAGCGUUAAGUAUUCCACCUGGGGAGUACGCCGGCAACGGUGAAACUCAAAGGAAUUGACGGGGGCCCGCACAAGCGGAGGAACAUGUGGUUUAAUUCGAUGAUACGCGAGGAACCUUACCCGGGCUUAAAUUGCAGAUGAAUUACGGUGAAAGCCGUAAGCCGCAAGGCAUCUGUGAAGGUGCUGCAUGGUUGUCGUCAGCUCGUGCCGUGAGGUGUCGGCUUAAGUGCCAUAACGAGCGCAACCCUUGUUGUCAGUUACUAACAGGUUCCGCUGAGGACUCUGACAAGACUGCCAUCGUAAGAUGUGAGGAAGGUGGGGAUGACGUCAAAUCAGCACGGCCCUUACGUCCGGGGCUACACACGUGUUACAAUGGGGGGUACAGAGGGCCGCUACCACGCGAGUGGAUGCCAAUCCCAAAAACCUCUCUCAGUUCGGACUGGAGUCUGCAACCCGACUCCACGAAGCUGGAUUCGCUAGUAAUCGCGCAUCAGCCACGGCGCGGUGAAUACGUUCCCGGGCCUUGUACACACCGCCCGUCAAGCCAUGGGAGCCGGGGGUACCUGAAGUGCGUAACCGCGAGGAGCGCCCUAGGGUAAAACUGGUGACUGGGGCUAAGUCAUAACAA